GACGUAGGGCGCGAGCGUUGUCCGGAUUUAUUGGGCGUAAAGAGCUCGUAGGCGGCUUGUCGCGUCGACUGUGAAAUCCCGCGGCUCAACCGCGGGUCUGCAGUCGAUACGGGCAGGCUAGAAUUCGGUAGGGGAGACUGGAAUUCCUGGUGUAGCGGUGAAAUGCGCAGAUAUCAGGAGGAACACCGGUGGCGAAGGCGGGUCUCUGGGCCGAUAUUGACGCUGAGGAGCGAAAGCGUGGGGAGCGAACAGG
rnacentral:rRNA from 1 species